GGUUAAGCGACUAAGCGUACACGGUGGAUGCCCUGGCAGUCAGAGGCGAUGAAGGACGUGCUAAUCUGCGAUAAGCGUCGGUAAGGUGAUAUGAACCGUUAUAACCGGCGAUUUCCGAAUGGGGAAACCCAGUGUGAUUCGUCACACUAUCAUUAACUGAAUCCAUAGGUUAAUGAGGCGAACCGGGGGAACUGAAACAUCUAAGUACCCCGAGGAAAAGAAAUCAACCGAGAUUCCCCCAGUAGCGGCGAGCGAACGGGGAGCAGCCCAGAGCCUGAAUCAGUGUGUGUGUUAGUGGAAGCGUCUGGAAAGGCGCGCGAUACAGGGUGACAGCCCCGUACACAAAAAUGCACAUACUGUGAGCUCGAUGAGUAGGGCGGGACACGUGGUAUCCUGUCUGAAUAUGGGGGGACCAUCCUCCAAGGCUAAAUACUCCUGACUGACCGAUAGUGAACCAGUACCGUGAGGGAAAGGCGAAAAGAACCCCGGCGAGGGGAGUGAAAAAGAACCUGAAACCGUGUACGUACAAGCAGUGGGAGCACGCUUAGG
rnacentral:rRNA from 1 species